AGACUGCUGUGCUAGCAAUCAGCGAGACUCCGUGGGCGUAGGACCCUCCGAGCCAGGACCCUGGGCCAGGGAAAGAAAUGAAUGAAGAUGCCACCUUAUGCCCAGAACACAUCUCUCAUUCAAUGAUAAAGGAUUUGUGGUUGGGUCAACUUUUGUGAUGCUCAACUCUUUCCUUCGUAAGGACGGGCUCUUUCUCAGGAGGCUUUUGUACUCCCAAUUAACGCACUGCUAAUCUGAUGAAGCUCUAUUUUGUAGCUAUGCCAUCUGGAUCACAUAGCCUCCAAGGCCAGCAGAGCAGAGGAAGACAAAGAGCAGAGCAAGAUAGAGGUGGAAGUUACACGUCCUUUGUGCUUACUUUCUACUGGCCUCAUCGGGUCGCAAGAUCCCACUCUGAUAGGUGCAUGGGGGCUUGGAAAAUUAGAAAAACAUGUGAAUAUUUGGUAGGCACUUACAAUCUCUGCCAGCAUCUGCCCUUCUAAUCAGCAAAUUUUCAAUUACUUUUUUCUUCACCCACAUAAGACAUCUUAAUCCAACCUCAGGGGACACAUCCUGAUGUC
ensembl:lncRNA novel transcript, antisense to ICA1